rnacentral:lncRNA from 1 species
UGAUUUAAAGGCAUACAAGGACUCUAUCUUCUCCCACAAAUUUUUUGCAUGUGUCUCAUUAGCAAUAUGACUAUAAAAAUUAUCUUCUACAUAUUGUCACAUGUCUGUUGAUGUUCAAACUCUCAUUCUUCAUCAGACACACAAUCCGACUUUGCGAAACUAAAACCCAACAAAUGCAAUUUCUUCACAAAUAGUAAGUCU